rnacentral:lncRNA from 1 species
UCACUGAGGAAAGGACUCUUUGCCUCAGACCCGGACAAUCGGCACUCUCGCCUGCUGUACAAACUAUUGGGACUUCCCCGGCUGAUUGUGGUGUGGAUGUUAUUUACUCUGACAACAAAGGUCUGAGGCAAGGAUUGCUGAUGUGGAGUCAAAGAGAAGUCCAGACGGGAGAAGACGAGCUAGCAUCCCAGAUAUUUCCGUGUAGCCCUCCAGAUCCACUCCCCACUCUUCCCCACCCUGUUCUGUGCCCCAGCUGCUGAUCUGUAGGACCUGCAGCAAGGUACCUGCUCUUUGGCUUCCCACUGUGUUAUCCAGAGGAAUGCAUUGACAGAGAAUCAGCAAGGAGAAAAGUUGGACCUGUAUUCCCCAGACAUCUUGCUGCUGGGCCCCCUCAGACUUUUCACUACAAUGAACAAUAUUUCACUGACUCUCCGUAGGAAAAUUUCUCUAAGGUUCUUAUGGCAUUGCUGGGCAAAAAGAAAAAAAAAAUUUAGAUACCUUGACUUUGAGGUACUAUGCUAUUGAGUGCCAAAAUGGAAUUUUUACAGUAUAGUUGGCCCUCUAUAUCUGACAGUUCCACAUCCAAGGAUUCAAUCAACCAUGGAUAAAAACUACUACAGUUGUAUCUACAGAGUUUUUUUCUUAUCAUUAUUCCUUAGACAAUACAGUAUAACUAUUUACAUAGCAUUUAAAUUAUAUUAGGUAUUAUAAGUAAUCUAGAGAUGAUUUAAAGUAUACAGGAGGAUGUACAUAAGUUAUAUGCAAAUACUAGGCCAUUUUAUGUAAGGCACUUCAGCAUCCUCAGAUUUUGGUAUCCUAAGAUGGUCCUGGAACCAAUCCUCUGCAGAUACCAGAGGACAACUAUAACCAUAAGAAAAAUCGCAAAGAAGAAAUGAAGAUUGGGAUAUUUCUGUUUGUAGCAGCUAUAUUUCUAUUUUUUUCAGCUAGAGGAUGAAAAUAUCACUGUUCACCAGGCCCUAAACCAGGCAUACUGCAAUCAUUACCUCAUCUAAUAUUCACACCUACCCUUCAAGUGAUAACUGAAAUUCACAAAUGCUUCAUUUUACGUAAUAGUUCCAAUCUGUGCUAUAGCUACAUUUUUGAAGACUUUUUUAAAGAGCAGUUUGAGGUUCACAGCAAAAUUGAAGGAAGAUACAGAUUUUCCACAAAUCCUUCCCCCAACACGUGCAUAGCUUCCCCCAUUAUCAGCAUCCCCCACCAGAGUGGUACAUUUGUUAUAAGUGAUGAAUCUGCAUUGACAAAUAAUGAUCACCCAAAGUCCACAACUUACAUUAUGGUUCACUGUUGGUGUUGUACAUUCUAUGAAGUUGGACACAUAUACAUGUAUCCAUCAUUAUAGUAUCAUACAGAGUAUUUUCACUGCCCUAAAACUGCCCUACAACUACAUUUUUUAUCAGCAUGAUUUAACAAAUAGGAAAUUCCAACUGUCUUAAAUGUAGCCUUUUUUAAAAUUAUUUUUCCAGUGCAAACAAAGAGCAAAAUCGCU